CGCAUCUGUGCAUGCAGCAUAUCAAUAAGCGGAGGAAAAGAAACUAACAAGGAUUCCCCUAGUAACGGCGAGUGAAGCGGGAAGAGCUCAAAUUUGAAAUCUUAAAGGGUUUCCCUUUACGAAUUGUAGUUUAAAGAAGUGUUUUCUGUUGAGGUUUUGGUAAAAGUUCUUUGGAAUAGGACAUCAUAGAGGGUGAGAAUCCCGUAUUUGACCUUUACUUUCAACUUUGUGAUACACUUUCAAAGAGUCGGAUUGUUUGGGAAUGCAGUCCAAAAUGGGUGGUAAAUUUCAUCUAAAGCUAAAUAUUGGCGAAGAGACCGAUAGCGAACAAGUACCGUGAGGGAAAGAUGAAAAGAACUUUGAAAAGAGAGUUAAACAGUACGUGAAAUUGUCAAAAGGGAAGCGUUUGACACCAGUGUUGUUUUUCUGAAAAUCAAUUAAAGAACUGUUUAUGCUAAGCUGUUUAGACUUUAUCAGCUAUCUGUUUAGUUUUGAGCUUUUCUUUAAUGCACUUUUCAGUUAACAAGUCAACAUCAAUUUCUUUUGCUGUAAAAAAGCUUGAGGAAGGUGGCUUGAGAUUCGUCUUAAGUGUUUAUAGCCUCUUGCCUAUGCAGUCGGAGAGAUUGAGGUCUGCAGCGUAGAUCCUUCGGGGCUAAAUGCAUUUGUGCUAAGUUAUAGCAUUUUAUAGACAACUUGUUGACUAUGAUUUGUCUUGUAGCUUACUCGCUUAUGUUAUUUUACCUACGCUUAGGAUGUUGAAUCUGUGCGAGACUAC
rnacentral:rRNA from 1 species